GAUCAUGGCUCAGAACGAACGCUGGCGGCAUGCCUAACACAUGCAAGUCGAACGAGACCUUCGGGGUCUAGUGGCGCACGGGUGCGUAACGCGUGGGAACCUGCCUUUAGGUUCGGAAUAACUCAGAGAAAUUUGAGCUAAUACCGGAUAAUGUCUUCGGACCAAAGAUUUAUCGCCUUUAGAUGGGCCCGCGUAAGAUUAGCUAGUUGGUGGGGUAAAGGCCUACCAAGGCGACGAUCUUUAGCUGGUCUGAGAGGAUGAUCAGCCACACUGGGACUGAGACACGGCCCAGACUCCUACGGGAGGCAGCAGUGGGGAAUAUUGGACAAUGGGCGAAAGCCUGAUCCAGCAAUGCCGCGUGAGUGAUGAAGGCCUUAGGGUUGUAAAGCUCUUUACCCGAGAUGAUAAUGACAGUAUCGGGAGAAUAAGCUCCGGCUAACUCCGUG
rnacentral:rRNA from 1 species